UAUCUGCAUUAUCGCCAGGCGGACAGAAUGUGUGCUUCAGGCACACACACCCUCCCGCUCUCCUUUGCUGAGAGGCUGCCCCUAAUGAGUUCAAACUUCCUUCCUCUGAGCUCCACACCCUGGAUCUCACAUUUACUUGUUUUUUCACAAAUGUUUAUUGAGUUCCUAUGGUUUGGUGGCUGCCGGGCUGGGGGGAGAGUGCAGCAGACCACGCGGAUACGCGUCUGUCCAAAGAAGGCCUGUAGGCUGUGACACCGGCUGGGGCAGGAGCUCUGGGAGAAGGUCCAGCUCCUCCAUGGCUCCCCCUGCCUCCCUCUGGUUCAUGGAGCCCACUGGGACAACCCUCAGCACCCUCUCCCCUCUCCUCUCUUUCAUCCUCUCCCGUGGGGCACCUAUGACCUGGAAGGCACUGGGGAAACAGAGGUGAAGCAAGACGGCCAGGUGGCAGGCUACUGCAACAGACGAGGUUGGCAGCACCGAAGCAGUCCAGCCAGCCUGGAGAAGCCCUGGACACCCACUCCCGUCCUCAGAACAUGAAAGACGGGCACGCUGCUGCAGAUGGAGAGCGUGUUGGACACAGCUUGUCCACAGAGUUUCCAAUACUCAUGGGAAGAUGCAACAAAGCUAGACAGCAGCUACCGGGAAAACGAACCAAAAUAAAAGUGCAAGACAUAUCACAGGGCGACACGAUUAAUUGCCAAGUCACUGACAUGGACAAAUUUAAUACUGAUGGAAUGAUUCUGUCUCUAUUUCUCAGGCAGACUGGCGCUGGGGUAGAAAGAAGGGAGACCACAAAUUCCUUGUGGAAUACGGGUUGCUCAAAUUGUUACAAAAACCAGGCAUUAAUUUUGCAUGCAUUAAUCUUAUAAAAUACAGUAAAUAUGACAGGCACAUAGAGCACAAUUGUAGCUCAAACUCAGAGAGGCCCUUUGGUAGCCACAGAAGGCCUCGCGGAGGAAGCAGGUUUUUGUUUUUUGUUUUUAAGUGUUUUUAUUUAUUUUUGAGACAGAGAGAGACAGAGCAUGAGCAGGGGAGGAGCAGAGAGAGAGGGAGACACA